UACGGGGGGGCAAGCGUUGUUCGGAAUUACUGGGCGUAAAGGGCUCGUAGGCGGCCAACUAAGUCAGACGUGAAAUCCCUCGGCUUAACCGAGGAACUGCGUCUGAUACUGGAUGGCUUGAGGUUGGGAGAGGGAUGCGGAAUUCCAGGUGUAGCGGUGAAAUGCGUAGAUAUCUGGAGGAACACCGGUGGCGAAGGCGGAUCUCUGGGCCUUGCCUGACGCUGAGGCGCGAAAAGCUAGGGGAGCGAACGAGG
rnacentral:rRNA from 1 species